GGGGCUGACCGGUUUUGACAGCGUGUAGAGGUGGUGAGUAAGCAUGCAGAGCAAUGAUGGCUACGCUCUAUAAUCAGGGACAUCGACAAUUUAAAUGGCGAAAACAACUACGCUCUCGCUGCUUAAUCGAAGUACAGUAGAUUAACUUUAUUUCCGCAACAGUUGCGGAAACGAGACAUCACCCGGUUGUCCUUUUUCCGAGACUAAUCGACAAGGUGGUGCAGUUAAAUCGGGAAUAUAGCACUGAAAGCCUCGCGAAGUGCCGAAACCUUAGAGGAUAAGGUCACGGUUGGUGGUCUCUUGCCUGCCGCGACACGAAAACCAAGUAGAGACUAAGCAUGUAGAAAGCUCAUUAGUUCCACGUUUGGACGAGAGUUCGAAUCUCUCCAGCUCCACUU
rnacentral:tmRNA from 1 species